rnacentral:piRNA from 1 species
UGUGCACACAUAUGGAGGCCGUA